rnacentral:misc_RNA from 1 species
AAACAUCAAGACUCGUCCGUUCUUUAACACCUAAGAGCAAAUCAUGGCCAUGGCUCCACCCUUCAAUGGAAGAAGAUGGUGAGAAAUACUCGAGAAGAAAAAGGCAGGUAGCUCCUGAAGGAUGCUUCUCUGUGUACGUUGGACCCCAGAAACAGAGGUUUGUGAUCAAGACUGAAUAUGCAAAUCACCCACUUUUCAAGAUUCUACUUGAAGAAGCAGAAUCAGAAUAUGGUUACAACCCAGAAGGCAAGGCCCUCUUGCUCUCCCAUGCAACGUUGAUCUCUUCUACGAGGUGCUUGUGGCUAUGGAUGAUCAUAGUGAUGAAACCAAUCCUAAGGGAUGUGGCUUCUCCAUGAAUCAUGGCUCCUAUCGCCUUCUCAGCCCCGCUCGAAUGAUCGCUAUGAAUAAAUUCUAAAAGCUGAAGAGUAUUUUCGAGUCAACUUUCAACACAAUAUAAGAAGAAAAAAGGCAUUUUAAUCUGUGGCUUUUGUGCUUGUUUAAAUUAAUCUUGUUCAAAAUCAAGUAUAUGCAUGGUGAAAUCAUGUACAGUAGAAGAGGAUAAGCAAAAAAUAAUCAAAAUCCAGG